GCCUCUAUAGCUCAGUGGUAGAGCAACUGCCUUGUAAGCAGUAGGUCCUCGGUUCAAUCCCGAGUGGGGGCUCCA
rnacentral:tRNA from 1 species